GGUUGACCUCGGAUCAGGUAGGGAUACCCGCUGAACUUAAGCAUAUCAAUAAGCGGAGGAAAAGAAACCAACAGGGAUUGCCCUAGUAACGGCGAGUGAAGCGGCAAGAGCUCAAAUUUGAAAGCUGGCCCCCUCGGGGCCCGCAUUGUAAUUUGCAGAGGAUGCUUCGGGCGUGGCCCCUGUCUAAGUGCCCUGGAACGGGCCGUCAGAGAGGGUGAGAAUCCCGUAUGGGAUGGGGUGCCCACGCCCGUGUGAAGCUCCUUCGACGAGUCGAGUUGUUUGGGAAUGCAGCUCUAAAUGGGUGGUAAAUUUCAUCUAAAGCUAAAUAUUGGCCGGAGACCGAUAGCGCACAAGUAGAGUGAUCGAAAGAUGAAAAGCACUUUGAAAAGAGAGUUAAAAAGCACGUGAAAUUGUUGAAAGGGAAGCGCUUGCGACCAGACUCGCCCCAGGGGUUCAGCCGGCUUUCGGGCCGGUGUACUUCCCCCGGGGCGGGCCAGCGUCGGUUUUGGCGGCCGGUCAAAGGCCCCUGGAAUGUAACGCCUCUCGGGGCGUCUUAUAGCCAGGGGUGCCAUGCGGCCCGCCGGGACCGAGGAACGCGCUUCGGCUCGGACGCUGGCAUAAUGGUCGUAAGCGACC
rnacentral:rRNA from 1 species